rnacentral:rRNA from 1 species
CCUUACCUGGCCUUGACAUACUAAGAACUUUCCAGAGAUGGAUUGGUGCCUUCGGGAACUUAGAUACAGGUGCUGCAUGGCUGUCGUCAGCUCGUGUCGUGAGAUGUUGGGUUAAGUCCCGCAACGAGCGCAACCCUUUUCCUUAUUUGCCAGCGGGUUAAGCCGGGAACUUUAAGGAUACUGCCAGUGACAAACUGGAGGAAGGCGGGGACGACGUCAAGUCAUCAUGGCCCUUACGGCCAGGGCUACACACGUGCUACAAUGGUCGGUACAAAGGGUUGCUACCUCGCGAGAGGAUGCUAAUCUCAAAAAGCCGAUCGUAGUCCGGAUCGCAGUCUGCAACUCGACUGCGUGAAGUCGGAAUCGCUAGUAAUCGCGGAUCAGAAUGUCGCGGUGAAUACGUUCCCGGGCCUUGUACACACCGCCCGUCACACCAUGGGAGUUUGUUGCACCAGAAGUAGGUAGUCUAACCGCAAGGAGGACGCUUACCACGGUGUGGCCGAUGACUGGGGUGAAGUCGUAACAAGGUAAGCGUAGAUGA